CCUACGGGUAGCAGCAGUGAGGAAUAUUGGUCAAUGGACGAGAGUCUGAACCAGCCAAGUAGCGUGAAGGAUGACUGCCCUAUGGGUUGUAAACUUCUUUUAUAUGGGAAUAAAAUGUUCCACGUGUGGGAGUUUGUAUGUACCAUAUGAAUAAGGAUCGGCUAACUCAGUGCCAGCAGCCGCGGUAAUACGGAGGAUCCGAGCGUUAUCCGGAUUUAUUGGGUUUAAAGGGAGCGUAGGUGGAUUGUUAAGUCAGUUGUGAAAGUUUGCGGCUCAACCGUAAAAUUGCAGUUGAAACUGGCAGUCUUGAGUACAGUAGAGGUGGGCGGAAUUCGUGGUGUAGCGGUGAAAUGCUUAGAUAUCACGAAGAACUCCGAUUGCGAAGGCAGCUCACUGGACUGCAACUGACACUGAGGCUCGAAAGUGUGGGUAUCAAACAGGAUUAGAUACCCUUGUAGUC
rnacentral:rRNA from 1 species